AUGAAUCUCCCCCGCCUGAAGCAGCUCUCCUUGAUGUUCGUUUCCAUCUCGGGGGAUGUGUUUCAUAGCUUGCUCUCUGCAUGCCGUGCCCUGGAGAGCUUAUACAUGGCUGAAAUUCGUGCUACGGGUUGCCUCCGUGUUAGCUCGCCGACUCUUAGGAGUAUUGGCUUCCGUAAUAGCGAUGAUGAGGCCGAACUGGUCAUCGAGGAUGCUCCUCAGCUUGUAAGAGUAAUGUUACCUUAUAUUCAUCACUCUAAUGAUUGUGCUACUAUACGUGUAAUUAGGGCGCCUAGACUGGAGGCAUUGGGCCCUAUCUUACCCGUCGUCUCCACGAUACUAGUAUCUCAGGGAAUAAGCCCACUCACCUCAGCAAACUCCAUGUGCACCGUAAAGGUUUUGUGUCUCAGGUCUUCUGGCUAUGAAUUGGACGGAGUUCGUAAUGUCCUCAGGUGGUUCCCCUAUUUGGAAAAAUUAUACAUCAUUUUUGGCAGACACACAGAGGAGAAUAAGAAAAAUGAGCCUCAGUAUGACCCACCACAUCAAAUUGAAUGCUUUCAGACCCAUCUUAAAACAGUGGUGUUUAAGAUAUUCAUAGGCUAUGAGAAACAGGUUAACUUUGCGAGGUUCUUUCUUGUGAAUGCCAAAGCGCUAAACAAAAUUGAAUUUGAAGUAUUUGGUGAGUGCGACACUAUAUCGGUGGCUUAUUACCACAGUCUGCUACAAGUGGAAAAGAGAGCUUCUCAAGAUGCUCAGGUUGAAUUCAGGAGUGAAUAUCACCGUACUGGGUACGAUAAGCAUGUCCAUGAUUUGUCUGUGGCUGACCCCUUCGGACAGCCAUAG
rnacentral:rRNA from 1 species